GGGGCUGUAAUGGUUUCGACAGGUGUUAUUUGACAAUUAAGUGCAGCAGAGUUUGAGUAAACUCUUAAAUAAAACUCAACUAACCUAAUUGGCGAUAAUUCGCUAGACGGGUUGGUCAUUGAUUGGCAUCUAGCUGAGUAUGAUUACUCACCUAUGGUUCCUGUCUCUAAUGACGAACCGACUUACGCUUACGCUUAAGUCUUUGGGUUGUCUAACACCCGAACAUAAAAUAAGUUAGACACAACUCUUUCGUAUGUAGAGUAUAAAGAAGUAGCCACUUUAGCUAGAGGGAAGUUAGUGGUUAAAGAAACUGCCAGUUGGCAACUCUGAACAAAGUUGUUAUUGGGUUGUAAGUGACUUCGUAUAGUAUUAGUAGGAACUUAACUAAGCUGUAAACGACUUAUUGAAGAAAACGACUUGGACGGGGGUUCGACUCCCCCCAGCUCCACAA
rnacentral:tmRNA from 1 species